AAAGGACAAUUUAAAAGCCACGGAACGCUCUCUGUUUUUUUUUUAUUGCGAGCUUUGUCCGCCGGGAAUGCUGCCUGCCAUCCACUGCGCUAAAAAAAAACCUUGAUACACAAAUUGCAGUGGUGUUUUAUGGGUGCCUGCUUGGCUUCCCCUCCUCUGCCCCAGACUGUCAGAAAAUAUUUUCUUGAAUAUAAUUUUUUUAAAUUUUUUUUUUAUAAUUUUAUAUUUUAUUUUUGUUCAUUUAAUUUUAUUUUAUUUUGCUCUGACUGUAGAUUUAGGGCUGGAUUGAAAAUAAUCAGAAAGAGAAUGGCAACAAGACAAUCACCUAGUGUGAGAUCAGCCCUGACUUGCUGUGAGCUUAACCACCCUUCUCCUGGGCAAAGUAAAGACCAGCAGGGAUUGGGAAUGAGCCAGCUCCAUCACAGCUCUGUUAUUAUGCCAGCAACCCUAGAACAUAACCCUCCUCAGCACUGAGGCCAAGGGUUCAGUCUCACCUUGCCUGUCAAAGCCAAAGAGUAUAAGACUUGCAAUUAAAGUGGACGCAAUUCUGCUUUAAUAUCUAUUAAUUCUGCAGUAAUAAAGCUAAAUGUAGAGUGAUGAAAACAAGAGUCACAGCAGGAUUAACAAAUUAAUUUUUUGUUCUCAUGUUGUCCUCCUGGAUGCUCAAAAACAAGCUAAUACCAUGCUAAUGUUCCUUUUAAUAGACACUGCUUGAAACUUGCCUGUUCACACCCUGCAGUAUCUGAACAAGAACCUGGCCCAGAUCGUAUGUUCUGCGUCUCCGUCUGUGCUGGUGGGUCAAACUGCUCUGUGAAAAGAGCUCUCCAAUAGCUCCUGUAUUCAGCUAAACUAGUGAGAAUCUGAAGUGCCAGGGAUUUGGAUUGAAUUCAGCUUUCCUUUUGAUUCAAAAAAUCCAGACAAACUCAGCUGAAAACCUUCCUGUCUUUCCCAUGUUGAAAAGGAGGGUGAGCUGGAGUAGUAGAUGGGAAGACCUUUGCUCUCUCUGCUGGAGCAGAGCAGGGCAUGGUGCUAAAGCAGGAGCAGAAGAUGCCUCUCAUGCCUGCAGUGAAACUUAGCAGACAGAAGUUGCCCCAAAAGAGGGGAUCUAGUCCCCAACAGAGGUCCCUGAGUGUGCUGUGUGUGAGCCUUUGUGAAAGUACUUUCUCUCUUGUUCUUCACCCCAGACAAUUCAAAUGCUCCUGGGAUAGCAUUAUUGGAGUUGUGUUUCCUUGCAUUUUCCACAACUGCCUGUUUUUCUACUUGUCUCCCCUUUUCCGUUUCCUGUUGGCACUGCAUCCUCAACUCCUAACCUCUUACACACAUGCACUGGAUUUUUUUCACUUGCUGGAGGAGGUGCUGCACAAUGAGAUCCAUGUAGUGAGAGUUCAGUUGCUACAUGUUGGAGCACGGCAUAUGCUAGCCAGUUUUCUCACCCACACCCCUCUCCGUGGGAUUUCUCAGCACAUUUGCUUCCCAGCUCCUGCACUCAACAUGUGCUGCAAUGUGUAGUGGAAUAUCUGGGUCUGAGGCCCUGCAGUGUAUAGGAGGACUCUUCCUGACUUGUAUUAAUAUUGCUGCCAGUGAAAUCUGUGGCAUUUUGAUUGCUUUGGAGCUCCAGUGCUGCUGAAACGUCUUGCUUUCUGCUUACCCAUAUGACUCUCCUUUCAGCUUUUUGUCUUCACAUGAAAGAGAGGGCAAAAAAAUCUUUUGAUGUUUUUUGAGAAUAUUGCAAGAUAUUCUCAUGAAAACACCAUUUCAUUUGCUCAGGCUCUUGUUCAUACAGACUUUCAUGACUUCCAGGAUUGACUAUUUUAAUUUGUUCCUGGUGGUGUUCCAGAUUGUUUGCUAAACUGGCUGCAGAUGGUUUUGAAUGUUGCUGCUGCCAGAAUUGUUACUAGGACUUGAUCUGCAGAUCAUAUUUCUCUAGUCUCACGUUCCCUCUACCCUGGUGCCUGUUAAGCAGCAUAUGGCUUUAAAAUUCUUUGCUGACUUUUAAAGCUUGCACUGGCCCUGAUUCUUUUUACCUUCCUGGCCUUAUAACGCUUUAGACUUUGGCUUGGGCUCAUGGCUUAUCUGAUGUAAUGGCCACUGACAGUUCAGAGCCAGCAUCCAAAAACCAGGGUCGAGUAUUGCUUUGGGUUUGCUCCUUGUCAUACUUUUCUUUCAGUGAAAUGAAGGAAAUGAGUAGAUUUUCUGGUUCUGUUGCCUAAUAUUCUAAUGAUUAUUCCAAGCUUUACACUAAGCUUUUCUACAUGGAUUUACACACAGAUGCAGACACACACAAAGUCAACAUAUAACCAGUAUGCUCCUCCUUUAAAAUUUAAAAGUGCAAAUGAAAAAAGCUUGAUUCCCAGCUGCUGUACAAGAGAACUGGUCUAAUUAAUUCCGGAGAGCCACUUCCUGAUGGCACUAGGUGAAGAGGGAUAGGUCCUUGUAUAUGCAUGGCAUGGAAAAAUUUGGGAUCAUCUUCUCUUAUUUACCUGCCCUUCAAAUACUUUGAUUACUGAAAGCUAAGGAGUGUCACUCUUAGCUAUCUAUCUACUUUGUGUUGCCUCAGCUGAAAAGGAAGUAUGCAAGAACACUGCCUUGCAUGGGUAUAUUUCAUCACACAAUGUUUGGUUCUCCUCCUAACUAGUGAGACCCUGCUGCUGGAUUUGAUCCCCGCCAGAUGCAGAACAAAGGACUAUUAGAAGGGUACUGGGUUCUUUUCAUCUGUCACUGAAUGUGCUCAUAGAAUUUUUAUUAAUGGUGGUACAGCCCAAAUGCACAAUGGGUGAAAUUUUGUAUUUACUGAAAUCUAUGGGAAUUUUCUUGGUGGCUUUAUUAGAGCCCAGGCUUUAAGGAACAAGGUGUGGAAGCAGAGCUGGCUUGUAUUGCAAAGUCAGCAAGUGCAUGUAAAGAGUUCUUAUUGUCAGUAACUUAAGUGAGGAUUGCAGUGGGGGUCACUGAGAUGCAAUCAGCGGUUGUGCCGUAGAUUUAAAUCCCCUUGAGGAAGCCACUCUGCAAGCCCUAACACUUAUUUAUUCUUCAAGGGCUAGUUCAGGGAGAGUUCCUGUCCUCAUGCUAUCUUGGAGCCCAUCUGGACACUGAGAUGUUUGUCUCCAUGUGGAAAGAAUUCACAGUGCUCCCUUCUGCUCCCACCUCAAUCUGCAAGACCACACCAGGACCACCCCAGUGUAUCCCAAUCCUUUACCUUCAUUGGCUGCAGUGCAGUUAUUUCUGAGAAGAUAUGUACAAGUUUCUUUGUCCUGACUAGUUCAUAGAUUUAAUUUUCUUCUUAGUUUGUCUCUUGGUGAGGUCCAAUGUAUUUUGUACUUACUCUUUUUCAUUCUUUCAACAAAGCAGAAAGUAGAACACAGGUUCUACUUUCCCUAUGGAAAACCAUUCCAGACUCUUUUGCUUCUUUCACUUCUUUCAGGAUUGAUCAUAGCUGCAGAUUACAAAAAAUUUCUAGAAAUGAACAUUUAAAAAGGGGGGGAGGGAAGGGGGAAUUUGACUAGGGAAAAAAGUGGGGAAAAGAGGGGAAAAAAGGGAAAAAAUAGGAGAAUUUGAAAACUUAUGUCCAUCCCCAUUUAAUCAGUGUGUUUUGCUUUUGUGUUGUUCUGUCAAAAAAAAAAAAAAAGGGGGGGUGAGGAAAGGGAAGAAAGUAUGGACAUAUCAGCACUUCUUCAUAAAAAUCCUUUUCUCAAGAGGGUUGUGUAUUUAAAGAAAAAGUCAAAGUUCAGAUUACUUUUUGGAUCAUAGAAUAUAUUGAAUUUAUUCCUGUGUGGUAAAUUCAUCAAGGGAGAACUGUAGUACACUAUAAAAAGUUAAGAGUGUCCUAGUAAGGUUAGAAAGUAUUGGAAAACAGCUGUAGCUAUAAGGUGGGGAACACAAGAAAAAGGACAUGGAAACUCAUUAAAGUUCAUGACAAUUUGCUGCCAUGAUAUUGAGGCCAGAUGACUUAUGAAGUCCACAGGUAUACAAUCAGGUCAGUGAUAAGUAGAAAUCAGGAGUUACUUUUCUCCUGCGUGUGCAUCUGAAGCCUAGUGUAGGAGCAUGACACAUGGGACUGCAGUCAGCUUUUUAAGCAAGAUGUUGAGCAAUUAAAAAGAAUUAGUUCUGGAGAAUAAGGAAAAAGAGUAAACAAAAUUGUCUGAGAGCUAGAGAAGUUACUUUCCCUUCACAGACUGGAAGCACAGUGUGUUUAUUCAAGAGAAAAGGUGGAUGUUGUAGUAAUCUCUAAUCAAACAGGUAUGGCCACAGCAAGAGUUAUGGCUGGAGCUCUGCCAUAUGAAGGUGAAGUCAGAAGAAAACAUGAAACAGGCCCUAAGCAGCAGUGGCAAGAAACUACUGCAACACAAUACCAACCCCCCCCCACCCAGUGAUACUGCCUAAGAAAAUCUAAAUGCUUUUUUGUGAGACUUGUGUUCACACAAGUUUUACUUUAGUCACACAUGUUACUGAGUUCACUCACUGCGUGGACACUGGAUAAAAUGCUGUGCUCUGAGAUGUUCAGGAGAACAGACUGAGAGAGAUGUUGGAUCAUCCUUGCCUUAAACUUUAGCAAACUCUGAGGUGACUAUCUGUGCCAGACUAGGUUUCUGUUGCAUCUUGCUUCACACAGAAAGGUAGAACAACAACCCCAAGACAUUACUUGUAUUUGUAUUUUAAGGGGGAAAACAAUGGAUAUCAAUAUUUUUACAGAACUAGUUAAAAGGCAUUUCAGCAGAUGCUUUCAAUUCCUUUGACUGAAGUUAAAUUUCUUAACAACUCCAAAUAAAAUUGUUUCAUUUUGAUUUAUUUACCUGAACAUUCUGAGUUCAGGACUCAGGGGGACUUCGAUUCCUCACAGGAAUUGUAGUUCAAAUGCAGCAUCCCCAUUUUUCCUCAGUGGUUUGGGGUUCCCUGUUCAAUUUGACCUGGUCUGGUGUUUCAGCUUCAGGAACGUCUGUGGUGUAACUCAGACAAGGAAGCAAGGAAGUUUUUGCAGAAAAGAACUGGAGCAUGUAUUAUCUGAACUAAACUGCCAUGAGAUAUUUCUUUGACUUUUGUGACCAUGAGGUAAGUUCUAACUGAUCUGGUCUGAAGUGUUUUAACUGGCCAAGUGUUUUUCUUGGAGUCAGUGUUGCCCAGUGAAGAUUCAGAAACUUCAAGGAAUAUUAUUGUUUCCUUGCAGUAAAGUUCAGUUUUGCAGAAAAUGCAUCUUAUAUGAGAAAGCAUUUGUGGAAAUUUCCUGACUAGUUUUAUUUAAGAACUAGAGAAUCACCUCUUAAUUGAAAGGGGGAUAGUGCCAAAUAUUAACACCCCCAGGGACAGCAAAACUGAUUAAAUAUGUGUCUAAUGUUCUGUUUUUAAUCCAAAGGAAACUGCUUCGAUGGCAUACAUGUUAUUUUAAGUUUUUUUCAUUUUCCUGAAAAAGUGUCUAAGUGAAACAGCAUGUUCUUUAUGCUGGGGUCCCAUUCCCUCGGGUUACUCUCAUCGUGCUCACAGCACAUAAGUACUGCUCUUUCCUCUGAGCCAGCAGCGUGAGGGCUAAAAACAACAGUGAAGGAAACACUGCAGUGGUCCUUGUGUGUGCCUGACUGACUGCUGGGUCGUGAGCUGCAGGGAUUGGAGACCUGAGCUUUCUUAAAAUUGUUCUACAUUGAUGUGUCCCUUCCUGAAGUUACAGCUCCUAUGAACAGCCCCACUUGAUGAUUAAAAUGGGUGGUGGAACACUAAAAAUGGCAGAGUUUUCAUCUCUUUUCAAAAUCACAGAUUCACGGAUUGCCUGAAAUUGGCAGGACCUCUGGAGAUCAUCUGGUUCACUUCACCCCGCUCAAGCAGGGCCACCCAGAGCCAGUUGCCCCAGCCUGUGUCUAGAUAGAUUUUGAAAGUCUCAAAAGAGGGAGACUUCACAGCCUUUCUGGGCAACCUGUGUGAGUGCUUGGUCAUCCUGACAGUAAAAAGAGUGUUGCCUGCCAUUCAGAGGGAACCUCCUAUGCUUCACUUUGUGCCUUUUCUUCUGAUCCUGUCACUGGGCACUGCUAAAAAGAUCCUAUAGCCACUGAUAAGGUUCCCCUUAGGUGUUCUCUUCUGGGUGAACAGUCCCAGAUCUCUCAGCCUUUCCUCAUAGGACAGAUGUUCCAGAUGCUUAAACAUCUUCAAGGCCCUUUGUUGCACUCUCUCCAGUAUGUCCAUGUCUCUGUCAUACUGAGGAGCCCAGAACUGGGCACAGCACUCCAGGUGUGGCUUCACCACUGCCAAGUAGAGAGCCUGGACCACCUCCCUCGACCUGUUGGUAAUGGUUUGCCAAAUGCAGCCCGGUCUACCAUGUUUCAUUUUAGUCAGGAGGGCACAUCAUUGCCUCAUGUUCAUCUUGGUGUCCACUGGGACCCCAGGUCCCUUUCACAGCACUCAUUUCUAGCAGGGUUGCUCCCAGAAUAGUGCAUGGAGUUGUUCCUUCCCAGGUGCAGCACUUUGAACCUGUCAUUGUGACCUUUGUGAGGACUUCCUUAUAAAACUAGGUGUUACCUGAUAAUAAUUUUUGCUAUUCAGACACAAAUUGCAUUAAAAUAGAGUGGAUAAUUUAAAUGAAAUCAUUCUAAUCUUUUAUCAACAGUUAGUUAUGUAUUCACCAGCAGCACUGUCAGAGUCAUUAAAGUAGCCUAUCUCCUGCCAUACCAGAUCCACCUUCUCCAGAAAAUAUCUGUGUUGUUGAUCUAUAUGCUUUAGCAAUUAUGAAAAUUUAAUGAGGUGGAGUUAUUGAGGCCUUUAACUCUGAAAUAACAUUGCCAAAGCUUCCAAAUCUCUGCUGCCAAGAGAAGGAAAACAUCUUGAUUUUUAUCCCUUGACUUACUACCAUUGCUGCACAUGCUGAGAGCACAAUGUACCAUCUCUGAGAAAGAAACACAUCUCUGAAGUACAGACCUUUAACUUACAGACAGUGAUCAGAUGGUCUAUUGCAAUACAGCCAGGUGACUUAAGGAGAUAUGGAUCACAGUCAAGGUUGCCUUGGUAGCUCUAGCUUUUCAAUGAUUUUAAGUCUGUAGGAUGAGUUCUAGCAAUGUUACUGUAAUAUCAUCUGUUUUAGUGCUUAUUAAGCUGCAUCAAACUGCAUGAUUUUUCUUGAGAAACAUUGCAUAUUUAUAGGUCUGUGCAUAUACAGUUUUUUAAAAUUAAAUUUGUAACAUGAGCUGCUGAUAUAAAUCUAGGUGCAGUGCCACACACUUUAUGGUACUUACUUCCUGGAAAGGCUGAUGAAUAAUUGUGAUUCUGGCAAAUAUAUUUGCUUAGGUGACUCUAAGGCUGAAAAAUGUCUUUAUAAUCUGGUGUUAAAUACCAUUUAAGAAUAAGAAGUCUCAUGCAAAAGUCAUGUGCAAAUGUAAGCAAAGGUUAAAUCAAGUCUGCACAUCUUCUACAGAACAGAAAUCCAGAGCUGAGGUCACAUUAAACCACAAUCCAAUUCUGUACAGAGCAUCCUGAGAAAAAGCAGAAAUUCUGGGAAAAACUCGUCCAUCCAUAACAAGCAGGUUCUUCUCAUCAGUGAACACAAAACCAGAGGAAGAGAAAACACCAACAAAGCAUUACUUUACUUUGACCACUAAUUUGUGGAUGGCUAACUGGAGAUGUCUGUGUAACAGCAAGCAACAAAUGCUUAGUGUUUAUAUCAAGUAAUCCAGUGAAAUGGUCAAAGACAAGCCAAAUCAUUUACAGGAGGCUUUCAGUGUGGCAAAGGGUUUCAGAGAGGCUUUGCCAGUAUGCAGCUAAGCUCUGCUGGAGAUGUUGCAUUUAAGUGAUUCUUCAUGACUGAUCCUGGGCUCUGGAUGCAGGAGUAGAACCAUGUCUUGCCUGUGUAAAAGUAUUAAGUUUUUGGCUGCUGCUGUCUCUCAGAUGGUUUGGAACAUGGAGUUGGAAACCCAUUUUGGGAACACCAAAUAAAAUCUCUAGAAAAUAAAUGCAUUAUAUUUCCUUUCAUAUAGGCACCUUUAAAAUAUAAUAGACAGCUAUUAAAUUUUGAAGUCACAAUAAAUCAAAAACCUUUUGAAUAUCAAUGUUACAAAAAGAUAAACCUAGGAGUUCAAUGUGUACAGCUAGGAGUUCAUCUCUGAUCUGCAAUGCCAAAGGAACGCCUAAGGGAGGAAGCAGAAGAAUUGUGGUGAUUGGCACUUGUUUCCAGAUCUGCUCCUGGAUUAGAUUAGGACUGCUGUAUUUGUGACAAGGGUUUCCUGGCCAGAAGUAUGUGUGCAUGAACCACCCAGGUGGCCUACAUAUGAACUGGAAGUGCAUCCCAACCUCAGCAUGUCUGAUGUGCUCUGCAUGUGCUGUGCAGCUGUGCACAGUCAGUCAGUCAGAUGGAUCCAGUACACGCUGCAUUUACACUGUCAUCUGCACAGCCCAUAAACUACUGGGGGAAUCAGACAAAUGACACAUGUACACAGUGUAGGAUUUCUGGUUGCUUUUGGAUUUCCUGCAUCCUAAGAUUCAUUAUGGAGGUAAAAAGGGGACAUGCCUGGGACAACCCAGACACAUGGUUCUUUCUUAUGUAUGAUAUACCCAAAAGGUAUUUUUUUUAGAAGUUGGGAAAUAUCUGUUGUGCAUUUAUGGACUGGGACACACUAUUGUAUGAGCAAAACCAAUGCUUUUUCACCCAAUGAAAGAAAGCAAGUGUUUAAUACAUGACUCCUGGGCCAAGCUGAGAAUGAAAUCAUAUCAAAGCAAAAAUGCACCACUCAAGCAAUGCAACAUAGCUCCCAGAUGCAUAAACCUUUGGAGUAAAAUAAAACCACAUGAUCCCCAUUCAUAAAAGCAGCCUUUGGUGGCAUUUGCUCUGCCUUUGGCUUGCAAACAUUCAAGUGUGAAAGCUUUUGUUCAUGAGGAUAUCUGCAGGGAUGUGAAUACUCCUACACAUGCACUGCUGAUAUUAAAAAGUAUAUAGGUAUACAAACCCCUGUGUAAAUAGGCAUCUCCUAUAGUGAUUCUCUUGAAAGCUUCAUUUAAGGAGUCAGGAAGCAGGUACUGUAUGUUUUGGAUGAGCAAAGGCAGACUUGGAAGAACAGAGCAGAUAAGCAGUUCAUGUAAACUGCUAUUAUACAGAAGUAUUUGAAGAAAUGCAUGAAAAUCAACUCUGUACUUUGGUAAAGCAGUGUCUGGGAAAGGGAAUAUAAAGGAGAUGAUGCAUUGCUCGUAGUGAUAGGUGUGCACAGUUUUCAGCUGUUUGUAAGGUAACAUUUUGUUGUUCACAAGGAGAGAGGCUUGAAAGAUUUACAGAAAGGAAAUUCACAAUAAAAAUGCAGCGAGUAUUUUUUGCCAAUGGCAGAACCUCUUGCAGCAUGUUUCUUUCCCUUGUCAUUUCAAUUCAAGACCUAAAUGUUAUUCACUGACACACAAACUAACAAUGACAUUUUAAAGCUUGCACAGUGCACAUGCAUCCAGCUCCCCUAGGAAAAGUCAGGCAAACACCUGAUGCCUGCUGGGAAUUUCGCUGUGGGUGCCAGACAGCUGCUGCCCAUCAGUGUUUCCAGGUGUGCUUAUUCGGUUGAGAGGUCGCUCCAGCUGCAGACACAAUCAUAGCAGGGACUCAGGCAGGCUGGAGAGACAGAGGACAUGCUCAGAUUUUGCUGCUUGGGCUGCCUUGGUUUUGCCCUGAUUUAGAGCACCUGGCUUGUUUCAGAAUGCAGAUGUUUGCUCUGUUGCCCAAGAACCAGCACUUCAUUCCCUUUAUAAUGAGCACUGUGACCUGGGGGAGUUAUUAAAUCUCUGGUUCAAAAGAGUCUAGUUUUUCUCUCCUUUUGUUUCUCAGCUGACAGUCUAAAGUUCACAAACAGAUUAGUGGAAGGAAUAUAUAGAAAUUAAAAACUUAAUUUUCAAACUCCUCUGAGUCAAAUCUAAUUGACAAUUUGAAUUAUAGCCUGCGCUGUUCUUUGUUUCAUUUUUCUUUGGGGAAAUCCCUGCUUAUAGUUUUGCUUUGUCCUUUACUAUAAUUUUACAAGCCUAUAUUUAAAAAUUAUUCUGAAGCAACUUCUAGAGGCUGAAGCAAUUUUAGGACUACUGCAGUGCUGGUGUGAGACCAUGCAAUAUUCAAAAUUGAAAAGAUUAUACCUUACUCAGGAGACUAGCUUAAGGCUUGGAAUUCUUGUCUUCCAUCAUGAAUGUCUGCAUCGUGCACAACAUCGACAUCACAUUGAGGUGUCCUUUUCCUGUAAACACAUUUCUGCCUUUGGAGGUUGUUUGCAUUGAAGGGGAAAAAAGUCAUGAAAUUGAAGCCCUGGAGAAAAUCACUUAUGCUCAAGAAACACAUUUCAGCCUUUCUGUCUGAACAGGUUUGUUUUCAAUUCCAACUUCAUUCUUCAUCACUGUCACCCAUCCGCUCGGCCAUUUGUGUUUGAGGAGUCGGGACAGGAGAACGUUUGCUCUUUGUAUUGCUGCCACAGUCAAGAGCUGAACCAGAACCUGCAGGGCUGUAAUGUAACAGCUCCACUGACUGCUUCUGAGAAUCUUAAUAAAAGCAAACUAAUUUUAAGUAAGGGACAACCUCACAACUGAUAAAUGUGCAAAUAGAGCAAAAUAUAUUGGGAAGAAAAUCUGGAGUGUGAACCUGAUGUGAAGACAACUGCAGAAACAAUCUUUCUGAUUAAACAUCUGAUAAGAAAAUAGAGUCUUAAGACAAGUUCUUCAGGACGUCACCAGUAUAUGACACUAAAUUUAUGCCAAAGGGAAGGAGUUAUUAAGUUCUUUUCUUCUACAGAAAAUUGUUAUGUUAUUAUUGCAAGGCCUUUGUAAAGUUUUUUCGUAUAAUUUUCAGUACAUUAUCUGAAAAUAGUGUCUGUCUAAAGAUACUAUUUCUAUCAGUACAGAAUUAUCAGAAGUUCCAUAAUGACCAAAAUAAUGUAGUUUAAAAGGAUCUCAUGAGGAAACUACUUUUUAAAUUAAUAUAUCAGAUUUUUUUUUUCUUUUGUGAAUAUGACCGUGCUUUGCUUAGUUAUUACAUUUGCUGGUGCUCUCAGCUUACCCUGGAGACAUGCCAUCAUAUUCUGAAUGAAGUCUAUUCCUUCAAAUACAUUCUGGUAACAGUGAUAAUCAAAGUAUUUCCAAAGACCAAAAGGUGCUUGUGAAAGAAAGGCUUAAAUCCUAGACCUGAUGAGACUUUGUUUUUCAAAAGUCACUUUUCAUACCUAUUUUUGUCUAAGUUAUUUUCUCUAAUUAUAGAGAACUGUUAUAAUUUAAAAUAACUUGUUAUAAUUUGUUGUAAUUUAAAAUAACUCUAUUUUGAUUAACAUGAAGCUAGAAUGUCACAUUUAUUAAAUGUCUUCAAUUACAUCAUCCCUGUAGUCCCACAUAUACAGAAAGAUUAUUUCCCAAGUAAAGCGCUAUCCCCCUUUUUUUUUUGAAUAGAAUCUAAAAUUUAGAUUCUAUUCUUGCUAAAUCUCAUAGAAGAGAAAAUACAUUCAAGAAAAGGUAGUGAUAAAAUACAUGUUUUUACUAUAGCUGAGCCACAGGAUGUCACUGUUCCUCUUUCACAAGAAACAACCUUCAGCUGUGAAAGUAGACCAGAUUCUUCUUAAAAUUACAAAAAUGCACAAAAAUGACAUAAAAAGCACAGAAAUUAAGUCAGACAUUUCUUUUUGUAUGUGUGAGUCAAUCUAGGCAAUGUGUUGCCUAUGUAGAAUAACAAUUUAAUAUUCAAUUCAGUCUCAUCAUGUACCAAGAUUGAUAUAUUUUUGGUACAUCCCUCCAGACAGAACUGACACAUAUCAGUAUGUCCCAUAUUGCAUAAAGAGUCAGGCAGAGCUGAAUAGAGUUCAGGCGAAAGUUAAUGUAAGACAUUAAAACUUCUUGUAGCCUUCCCUAGUUAGCACUGAAUUUCUAAAAUUUAGCACCCUUUGCAACCACAAAGCUGGAUCUUGACAAACACAUGCUGCUUCUAGAGGUUUAAUAUGAUCCCUUCAUAAGAUCCUUGGUUGCCUUCAUAUCUAGAGUUCCCCAUCCUAGAUGUCCCAGGAGGAAGUGGAAAUUAGCUCAGAGAGGCUUUAAGAUGACAGUGUGCUUCAGGCAGUGUUUUUUGUCUGAGGGCAUUGCAGAAUAAAGUCCUUUUCACUUGGCCA